AAACUUAUGUUUAGACGAAUACAUCUGUGUAAAUAAAUGUAAAUAAAUAAAUGUAGAUAUAGAGGCAAAUGCCUUUAAACACUCACACUAAAAAAAUAAUCGGAUAGAGAAUAUUUAAUACAAAUAUAUAAAUAUGUAUGUAAUUAUGUAUAAACCCUCAUCCUUAUUUCUUAAUUUUUUAUGCGACAAAACAUUUUAACUAUAUUUGUGUACUUACUUUUUUUGUAUUAUUAUUUUCUUCUUAGAUAAACAAUGCAAGUUGGACUCCUUCUUCUUCAUUCUUCCCAGGCCAACGAGACAGGAAACAUUGAAAACAAAACUAAAAGAAAAGCAAGACAAGUAUCAAUAAUUAACGCCCGCUGCUCAUUUCCAAGUUAGUUCCCUUUCUAGGGUUUCACUGUUUCCCCUGUUAUUUUUAAUAUUGGCUUUUUAUUGGAACUUCCUCUUUUGGUCAGACCUUGACCCUUCUUAUUUUAAUUUUUAUCGGGUCAAACCUGUUAUAGCGUCAGGUGGUGCAGGUAGAGAGACCUAUUAUUUUUAUAGUUUUUUUUAUACUCUCACUAACAAACUAUCCCUAUCUACUAUCUAGCGAAACCACAGCCAAGGGAACGGGCUUGGAAAAAUCAGCGGGGAAAGAAGACCCUGUUGAGCUUGACUCUUGUCUGACUUAAAGUCACUGGAUCCUGGGAAAGUAGCGCCAUUGCCUUCCCUACCUGCUAGCCGGGCACAAACGGAUACUAACAUACAGACGACCCAAACCUCGCAAGGCGAUUGGCCAAUCGGUCUACGUUGCCAUGGGAAUCGCCAUCUUGGUCCAUUUAAAUCUUCGAAGCUUCCAGGGGGUCGUUCUAAACCAGUCGCGCCAAGAUCACCAUGACGCAUCAUCGUACUGGAAGCGUUCCUCGCCAAUUUAAGAGUCUUUAGCACUUUGUAUGCGAUCAACUUAUUAAUCAUUCCCAUCUCCAUGGAUCUCUUACAAUUAUAUUGUUCUUCUUGCGUAUUUCAAGACAGUAAUCUUAUUUUCCAGUGCCUCCAAGCACCGACACAGCAUCUGGUAGUGGCACGAAGGUGUACGCUUGUUUCGCCGGUGUGUGGUUAGCAAAAUCUCGGUAUACAAAAAACGACUCCAUAAAGCUACCCGUCACCAGCGAAUCUAGAUCGGCUCACCAAGAACGGAGGAGUCAAGGAGAAAUUGCUCAUUUCACGGACCAAGAUGGCGACCACACGGGGAGCUUGGCGUUACUUUCCCAGGAUCCAGUGACUUUAGUCUGACACUAUGAAGAGACAUGAGAGGUGUAGCAUAAGUGGGAGGCCGUGAACCCUCGUGGUUGUGUCGUGCCGCCAGUGAAAUACCACUACUUUCAUCGUUUCUUUACUUACUCGGUGAAGCGGAAAGCGGACCAUGAGUGUCCACGCUUCUAGCACUAAGCGCAAGGCCCUUCGUUGGCUCGCACGAUCUGUUCCGAGGACAGUGUCAGGCGGGGGGGGGGGGGAGUUUGACUGGGGCGCUACAUCUGUGAAAUGGUAACGCAGGUGUCCUAAGGCGAGCUCAGCGAGGACAGAAACCUGGCGUAGAGCAAAAGGGCAAAUGCUUGCUUGAUCUUGAUUUUCAGUACGACCACAGACCGCGAAAGCGGGGCCCCUCGAUCCUUUUGACUUUAAGAGUUUUAAGAAAGAGGUGUCAGAAAAGUUAUCACAGGGAUAACUGGCUUGUGGCGGCCAAGCGUUCAUAGCGACGUCGCUUGUUGAUCCUUCGAUGUCGGCUCUUCCUAUCAUUGCGAAGCAGAAUUCGCCAAGCGUUGGAUUGUUCACCCACUAAUAGGGAACGUGAGCUGGGUUUAGACCGUCGUGAGACAGGUUAGUUUUACCCUACUGAUGACUGGUCAUUGCGAUAGUAAUCCUGCUCAGUACGAGCGGAACCGCAGGUUCGGACACUUUGUUCAUGUGCUUGGUCGAGAGACCAGUGGUGCGAAGCUACCAUCCGUGGGAUUACGACUGAACGCUUCUAAGUCAGAAUCCCGUCAAAGCAGUGCAAUGAUAUCGUGCGCACUUGCAGCGUUUACAGGUGACGUUAGAGUUUCUCGGGUCGAUCACGGCGGGCCGCCGUGAUUCCCGGCUCGACGACGCCACGUGGACGUGGGGGCAUUAGUCGUUCGCCGAGGUAACGGUGCGAGCGACGCUCCCAUGCACUCGUUUUUGGUGUGAACCAAUGCGGUGUCAAAUCGUCUGCAGAAGACUUAGGUACCUGUCGUGGUGUCGUAAUUAGUAGAGCAGACACGACACUGCGAUCUAUUGAGGCUCAUCCAGUGACCGGGAGGUUUGU
rnacentral:rRNA from 1 species